UCCUCCUUACAGAGGCAGUUUGGUCCGAGUUCCCGGCCUUAGCCGCUGGCAACAGACCAUGAGGGUUGCGCUCGUUGCGGGACUUAACCCAACAUUUCACAACACGAGCUGACGACAGCCAUGCACCACCUGUGCACCACCCUCGCAGGCGACGCCGUUUCGGGCGCUUGCAGGUGCAUGUCAAGCCCUGGUAAGGUUCUUCGCGUUGCAUCGAAUUAAGCCACAUGCUCCACCGCUUGUGCGGGCCCCCGCCAAUUCCUUUGAGUUUCAACCUUGCGGCCGUAGUCCCCAGGCGGUUCACUUAAUGCGUUAGCUGCGGCACCGAGGGUAACCCCCCAACACCUAGUGAACAUAGCUUAGGGCCAAGACUAC
rnacentral:misc_RNA from 1 species